GUUAAGGUAAUUUACAUUAAAAUAUUGCUCUGAAAAGGCAAAUACGGUCAUUAGACCCCUCAACA
rnacentral:tRNA from 1 species